rnacentral:rRNA from 1 species
UACGGGGGGGGCAAGCGUUGUUCGGAAUUACUGGGCGUAAAGGGCUCGUAGGCGGCCAACUAAGUCGGAUGUGAAAUCCCCAGGCUUAACCUGGGAACUGCAUCCGAUACUGGAUGGCUUGAAUCCGGGAGAGGGAUGCAGAAUUCCAGGUGUAGCGGUGAAAUGCGUAGAUAUCUGGAGGAACACCGAUGGCGAAGGCAGCCCCCUGGGUCAAAACUGACGCUCAUGCACGAAAGCGUGGGGAGCAAACAGG